rnacentral:tRNA from 1 species
UGCCCCCUGGUGUAAUCGGCAGCACGCCGGACUCUGGAUUCGGCUGUCGAGGUUCGAAUCCUCGGGGGGCAGCCG